rnacentral:rRNA from 1 species
GAUGAACGCUGGCGGCGUGCCUAAUACAUGCAAGUCGAGCGAAUGGAUUAAGAGCUUGCUCUUAUGAAGUUAGCGGCGGACGGGUGAGUAACACGUGGGUAACCUGCCCAUAAGACUGGGAUAACUCCGGGAAACCGGGGCUAAUACCGGAUAACAUUUUGAACCGCAUGGUUCGAAAUUGAAAGGCGGCUUCGGCUGUCACUUAUGGAUGGACCCGCGUCGCAUUAGCUAGUUGGUGAGGUAACGGCUCACCAAGGCAACGAUGCGUAGCCGACCUGGGAGGGUGAUCGGCCACACUGGGACUGAGCCACGACCCAGACUCCUACGGGAGGAAGCAGUAGGGAAUCUUCCGCAAUGGACGAAAGUCUGACGGAGCAACGCCGCGUGAGUGAGGAAGGCUUUCGGGUCGUAAAACUCUGUUGUUAGGGAAGAGCAAGUGCUAGUUGAAUAAGCUGGCACCUUGACGGUACCUAACCAGAAAGCCACGGUUAACUACGUGCCAGCCGCCGCCGUAA